rnacentral:lncRNA from 1 species
GGAGUUCCUUAUUGCCACUUAAAAAAGCUCAAUUAACAUAGUUACAUUCAACCAAAAAACAAAAUAUAUAUAAACCAAUCUAGGUUUCGUGAAGGAAGUGAGAAGCUAAAAUAUAACAGAAUUUUGUUGUUUCAUCUCUCAUAAAGGUAGAAAAUGUCCAGCCCUCAUAAGAAAUUGCCUAUGAGAUCGCAUUCCAUUGGUUUUUUAAGACCCUUGCACUAAGCUCUUCAAGUCUGGCCGUCUUGAGUUACAGUAGCAAGAACAUUGGCAACAACAGUUGUACAGAAUUAAUAUCUCUCUUUCGCUGCAAAAACUUAAUCUUAAAUAAUUAUUUCCUCCUCUUCAACAGUAGAAAAUUUAUUUGGAUAGCUCUGCGCUUAAAGCCUCAAACAGGAGAGUUGGAAAUUCCCAUUGCUUGAUGGCUGCAUUAUUUUCUGUCAGGUACGCUAAAGAGGCAGUCAAGUAUUUAUGGGAUAACAAUGGUGAUGAAUUGUGCAGGUGCUCGAGGCAUUUGUCAUGUUAUUGCUCUCCUCAUUUGCAUUUUUCAGCUGAAGUAUUCAGCUUCCCUUACUGCAAGACUCAAGAAUUAGGAAUCUUUUCUAUCAUAAUGGAGCACAAAGGGAAAGGAGAGCUGGUUUAAAUGCAGUAGUCAUUGUAGAGGUAGAAAAAUAUUCACAAAGUGUUCAAGACUAUAUGAGUUGUAAUUGCACAAAAUAAAAAUAAAUAGAUGUAUUUUUAUGUUAAUUCGCUAAAAGCAUUGAUCAGUUUUUUGCUUUCACUCUAUACUUGUCUUUUGAAUCUAAGUCCAUAACAAUUGUCUGAAAAAAGGCAAAAACAUUAAUAUUUCAGUCACAUAUAGGAGUUAUUUUUUAAUCAUAUUUCCACAAGAAACAUCCAGCAUAAACAAUAGGUAUUCAGUAAUCGACGAAUAGUUGUUUGUAAUAUGGCAAGCAAAAUAUACGCAGUAAAAAGAGCAGAUAAAGUAAAUUCCAAUGAUGGCUCAUCAAGCAUGAACCAUUCCUUUAGAAACAAUGAUUCUUCAAGUUAAUAAGCUCAAGCAUUUAGAGUACGGUAGUCAAACAUCUUAUGAGGCUAAUGUGAAAUAAUGGCUACUUUUCCAAUUACAUGCAUAAACAAAUUAUCAAUAUGGGACCAAGAACACAUUCCACAAACAUCAUAUGCCAAAUAAAGGUAGUUAUGGAUGCUAAUUCAGGAUUCAAAAAUAGUGACAUAAGAAAGUCAUGGGUGCUAAUUCAAGGUUCAUUUCAGAACGAACAUAUAAAAUUAUAUUGGUAUCCCUUAUAUUAAAAAUGAAUGUCAGCCAAAUGCAGACUGUAAACUUUAAAAAUCCAAAGAGAUAAGGAUCUUACUUCAUCAUAAGAUGUGUCUAACUAAUAUAUGCCAUAAUCAACAUUCCUUUCCCAUAUGAGCAAAAUUAUAAUCUUUCAUUUGCACUAUGGCUCCCGGCUCCUUGAGUUUCAACCUUUAUUUUCACUGCUAAUUUCACAGUAAUAUCAAAGAAUUCAACAACAUUCACAAAAAAUUCCUCAAUAAGUCAUAUUACAUGGAAGUUAAAAGAUCACAUAGAAAAUAAAUCCUCUGGAAGCAGGAAUUCCUGACAUACGAUAAUUUUUUUCAGUUUGUUUGAAAGAAUUCUAAAUUAAAAAGAUAUCACAUGAGAAAUUUUCUACUCAUUCUUACAGUUAUAUCUAAUUUGCAGUCAUACUGCAAUAGAAAUACACAUGCAAGCAAAUGGAAUACAAUUUUCAAAGAACAUCAAAUAAAAUUAAAUCUAGAAACACUUUACACUUAGCUGGUAACUCCUUGUAGACAGUAAAGUAAGAAAUAUUGAGACAAAAGCAUAGGAUCCAUUAAAUAGAGCGAAGUCUGUAACUGAGCUUCAUUAGCCAUUAUUGGUACUAUCAACCGAUUAAUUUUUGGAGCUAAUUUCUCUUCACGCCAUAGACGCCCUCAUUUUGCUGGGAGAUUUCAUCAGACACAGGUGGCAUCAAAGUUCUUCCCUUUGUCAUUACUAUUUUUGUUCUAGAUAGCAAUUUUCAAGAAAGAGCUGAGAAGAACUACGCAGAACUCAGAAUCCACAUAUGCUAAUUAAUGGCAAAGCUGGAGAAAUUUUGAUAUAAAUGCAGAACCAAAAGGCAAUAUAGAGAAUGAGUGACAAAAAGAAAAAAAAUAGCUUUGUCAUUGAAAAGUCUGAACACGAAGAACACCAAAACUAAGACAUCUAGUGGAUUAAGCUCCACGCCCACAGAUUUCUCUCUCUUUGAAACUCUAGAAGAAGAGAGCAAUUCAAUUGACACGAAUUGUGUCUAUAGAAAAAGUCUUGACUACCAAUAAAAUGGACCAGCGCUUACAGUACAUUGUACAUUGCCUUUUGCACAAUCA